rnacentral:lncRNA from 1 species
GCAAAAGUACAGAUUCAUCAGCUGUGACCUCGUUUCUUAACUGCACUUGAUACAAGUUAAUCAGCCUCUUCCAAACACACUGCUGUCAUGAAUGCCUCUCACUCUGUCAGGGUUCUUCCUUUCCAAGGCAGGGAGGGAAUUUAUUUAAUAGGAAGAACCAAUAAGGGAAAUGCAAAGACUUACAUGCUACUUCAUCCAAAGCUGUUACCACAAACCACACGACUUUCCUCUCAGCCAUUUUUGAACGGAGGGCUACAAUUUUAUCUCUCCAGCUGACCCCUGUGUAACUCAGGUCUAGCACAAUGAGAGGCUUGCAGGGCCGCUGAGGACGGUCUGUCCAGAUUGUAUCAAUCAAGUUUUCUUUGACAGGUACAAGAUCGUGGCCAGCACUUCUCAAGACUUUGGACAUCCUCUUCCACUGGUCAGCUGGAAUUAUGGAAGGGUCCACUCCCACCUUCGAGCCUUCUGGGAGGACACUCACCAGCCAGUCUUCCUGAGUUGGUGUAUCUUUCAGACCCAUUUUCAUGAGUGUCCAGUUAUUAUCCAUUUGAUUUGCUGCCUGCAGGAAGUAGCGUCCAUCUGUCCACAUGGCUGCAUGCUGUUCAGUCACAAUGGCAGUACCUGCAGAGCCAUCAAAGCCCGAGAUGAAUGCCCGUCUGCAAUCACAGGGUGCAAUGUACUCGCUCUGGUGGGCAUCUCCGGAGGGCACUAUGUAGGCUUGUACAGGCUCCUGGACAUACCUGGGACUCUUCAUAACCUGCCGCAAUUGCUUCAGCAGUUCUGUUGUAAUUUUUGGACUCAUCUUCCCACCUGAAACUGCCCACGCUGCUCCCCACGUCCGGACUCCUCUUGCCUCCCCUCACACCAAACACCAUUCGGCAACUUGCUCGGCCUUAGGAACGUGCCUGCCGCCGUCCCGCCCGCCGGCCCCACCACGACGUCAGCGCCCACGUGCGCCGCCGCGAGCCGCCGCCGAUGACGUCACGGGGGCGCGGGGCGGAUCGGCAGCGCCGGGUUACGUCACGGUCCGUCACGACGCAGCGGCUGCAGCUGCGCAAUACGCCUCUAUCCCAGCGGAGCUGCUUCCUGCAGGGCGUUUUAUGGUGGAGCGCUCGUGGCGGGGCCGUGCUGCCGUGCACAACGUGCUGAUCAGCUCCGUGUCUGGGACACGGGCCGGAACACGGCGGCAUAAGCGUCAGCCCAGCCCCGCCAUGCACACCGACCCGUACCCCUCAGCGCCCCGCUGCCCUUUUCCUGAGCACCUCCGGGCACGGCGACUCCAGCACCCCUGCGGGCAGCCCGUUCCCGUGCAUCACCGUUUUGGAGAGCGAAUUGUUCCUCACACGCAGCCUGGUGCAACCUGAGGCCGUUCUCUCACCUCCCGCGCGGGAGGAGGGGCCGACCUCCCCCUCACAGGAAAGCCCGGGAAGUUGGAGAGCACUCAGCAGCCCCAGGGAGAGCGGGGAGGAGAGCGUGCUCCAGUGAUUCCUCUCUGCUUUGGUCCAGGCAGAAAUAACAAGCACAGCUGCACACACAGCAUUGAUGUGAUAUUGACGUCUGGUUGUAGUUUAAAGUAAAGUAACCCACUGCUGAAGACGCCUCCCUGCUUUGUGUCGGUGACAAAAUUUGGCCAUUCUUCUUCCGGCUGUCUUCUGAUUGAGAUCUCGAUUUAAUAAAGGUUAAAAAGAAAGCAGUCUGCGUUCUGUGGUUCCGUGAUUCCCAUCUCCCCGGGAUGUGCUACAGAAAGCAGAAAACAAGGUAAAUAUUGACGUCUGUAAGAGCUACUUAGUUGCCAUUAUGCCCCUUUAUCAGAGGGAGAUGCUGUGAGAGCUUCAGUGCCCAAAGGUGACUUCGAAGGGCUUUUGACUCACUGAACAUUAAAAUUCAGACUCCUUUCCUUUCCUUCCUGGUAAAAUUAAUGAUGGCAAACUGAUUAGCAUUCUGCGUAGGAACUUCGCUACAGAAGAUGAUCAUCUCCUAAGAGCAGAUGUGUCGGGGUCAGAAAGCAUUUUGCAGACACCUGAUUAAGCCAGUGACAAGUCCUCUGCAGCAGGCAGCAGGCAGCCCGUUUGACAGGGGGAAGAUGUACAAAAAUAAUGCGGUAUUACUGCAUUUUCUGCCCUACACUGCAGAUCGAGGCAGCAAGAAGACCUGAAGUCUUGAGUUCCCGGUGCCAGGGCCCUUAUUUCAAGCAGCAGACCUAGAGAGCUCCAGGCGCCUGGGUCCAAGUGAAUGCCCCAGAUUUACUUCAUCCUGGUGGGGAAGAGGUCCAGAGAUGCCCUCAUCAGGUAGGGGAAAGCGCUGGAUGUUCAGCACCCUGGUUCAGCCAGUGGCCUGACCCAGCUGGACCGGCGUCAAGCCUGCGGAUGAGCACAGUGGGGACUCAGGGUGCACUGAGGACUGGUGCUGAGGUGCAGCCCUGUGGAGGCUGAUGGAUCCCUAGGCUGAAAGAGCCAGCAGAGGACUCUUAGCAGCACUGCUCAUUUCACUUGAAUAGUAAAUGACUUGUAAGUUAAAUAAGAGAAAGUGGAAUGAGCUUUCCUGUUAAGCCCAAACAUUUGAUGCUUAUUUCCUGGGCAUUCUGGGUCUCCAGGAAGCUUGUAAUGAGCUUUCCAAUGUAGAUAAUGUAAAAUAUUUUAAUAAUUCAUUUAUCAGGCGGCACUGUGAAUGAUAUAUAAUCUGAAAUGAUUAAAGAGAUGAAACUGGUCUUUCUAAGCAGCUGUUGAAUCUCAGUUAAAUGGUGCAACUUCUGUUGCAAAGGUGUUUUAUGAAAACUGUUCAAAAUACCUAGCUUUUAAUUAAAUUGUCCUGAAUGAGUUAUCUUUUAUGUUCUUACAAUGCUAUAUUGCAUCAGAUUGCAUAUAAGAAGGAGAGAAAGAGGGCAAUCUGGCAGGUAGCAACCAAAAUUGCCUGAGACCAAUUGGCAUGUGACAGAGCCAUUAACUCUGCUGUAAUCUUGAUCCAUAUCAAGAGAUCAAGGCCAGGAAAUAAACCUUAAAAGAACUCCCAUUAUCUUAUCAGCC